rnacentral:lncRNA from 1 species
GAGUUCUUUUAUUUUUCACAGUUCAUUCUUCAUUCUUUUGCAUACCAUUGUUCUCUUUUCUUUAUUUCUUUCCGCUCAUUUAUCUUUAUGCAGUAGUUUUUGGCAAUUAUCAUAAUAUUUGUUAACCCCAUUCAGACCAUCCACGAGGAGCGAAAAUAAAAAAAAAAACAAAUACAAUAGAUAAUUUAUGUGAUGUGAGCUGGCUGCGGGAAUAACAUCUCUUGAUAGACAAAUAAAUAAACUCAUUAUAGAUACCAG